rnacentral:lncRNA from 1 species
GGCUUAAUGUAUGGCUUUGAUGUGAUACCAGUGGAUUGUGUUACAGAGUAAAAGGGUUUCAAUCCCUUGAUCCACAGCAGAUAGUAGUCCUUGGUAUAGGCCCUGAGGGCCAUUUCAGAUUGACAUAUCUGAGUAGCAGCAGUUAAGCCUACAGAGUUUUACAGGAUUGUUGAGUCUAUUUGUAUCAUGUCUGGGAUUUAUCAGGUACACAGCGAGUAUAGUCGGCUUGCUACGGGUCCCGGCGGCCUUAAGCCGAUCUGGAUCCUAGUGCCAGUGAUGGUUCGGACCGUUACUGAGGGGUACCGGUUUCCGGGUCGUUACAGAUUGGUAUCAGAGCAUAGGGCCUCAAGAGUACGGUGUGUUGAGAUAUCCCACAUCGGAAAGAGGUGUUGUCUUGUAUAGGAAGGAAAGCACACUAAGUUAAACUCAUGUCCAC